CGGGUGAGUAACACGUGGGUGAUCUGCCCUGCACUUUGGGAUAAGCCUGGGAAACUGGGUCUAAUACCGAAUAGGAUCAUGCUCUUCAUGGGGUGUGGUGGAAAGCUUUUGCGGUGUGGGAUGGGCCCGCGGCCUAUCAGCUUGUUGGUGGGGUAAUGGCCUACCAAGGCGACGACGGGUAGCCGGCCUGAGAGGGUGACCGGCCACACUGGGACUGAGAUACGGCCCAGACUCC
rnacentral:rRNA from 1 species